AAUCUUGCGCAAUGGGCGAAAGCCUGACGCAGCCAUGCCGCUGGAAUGAUGAAAGUCUUAGGAUUGUAAAAUUCUUUCACGGGGGACGAUAAUGUCGGUUCCUGGAGAAGAAUCCCCGGCUAACUUCGUGCCAGCAGCCGCUGUAAUACGAAGGGGGCUAGCGUUGCUCGGAAUUACUGGGCGUAAAGGGCGCGUAGGCGGACAUUUAAGUCAGGGGUGAAAUCCCAGAGCUCAACUCUGGAACUGCCUUUGAUACUGGGUGUCUUGAGUGUGAGAGAGGUAUGUGGAACUCCGAGUGUAGAGGUGAAAUUCGUAGAUAUUCGGAAGAACACCAGUGGCGAAGGCGACAUACUGGCUCAUUACUGACGCUGAGGCGCGAAAGCGUGGGGAGCAAACA
rnacentral:rRNA from 1 species